rnacentral:rRNA from 1 species
GACGAACGCUGGCGGCGUGCUUAACACAUGCAAGUCGAACGGAAAGGCCUGCUUUCCCUUGUGGCUUGCGGGUACUCGAGUGGCGAACGGGUGAGUAACCCGUGAGUGAUCUGGCCCCAACUUGGGUAUAAGCCUGGGAAACUGGGUCUAAUUCCCGAUAGGACUGCAGGGUGGUGGCUGUGGUUGAAAACGAUUGUCUAGUGGAUGGGUAUGAGCUCGCGGCCUAUCAGCUUGUUGGUGGGGUAAUGGCCUACCAAGGCGGCGACGGGUAGCCAGGCUGAGAGGGUGGACGGGCACAUUGGGAAUGAGCUGCGACCCAGACUCCUACGGACGGCAGCAGUGGGGAAUAGUGGAAGCUGGGCGGAAGACUGAAGCAGCGACGACGCGUGGGGGAUGACGGGCUUCGGGUUGUAAACAGCUUUCGGGCGUGAGGAGGCCACUUGGUUGGGAGGGUGGUGACGGUAGUGGUAGAAGAAGCACCGGCUAACUACGUG